CCCUAUGGGGCGCAGCAGAACGGCAGGGAAUCCGAGGAUGGAAGAUUCCUCGCUCAAAGUACCUGAAUCAGAAAUGACGCACUUGGCAUCGCACUGAAGCCGGCAAUAGUCGGUAAAUCCUAGGGGCUUCACGCUGCGGAUUAGAGGAUUCAGCGACACCUGGUUGGUUUCGAGGCGCUUCCACGUGCGCGGAUGUGUCGAAAAUACAAUGGGGAGUUUAUAUCGCUCCGCGAGGCUGUUCAGCGCCACGACGAGUUCGUUGAAUUUGUACUCGAUAUCGAUGUUUUCCUCACGGUGCAUGCUCAAGACGAAAUACUCUCCCUUUUUGACGCCAUAUGCAUCGAGCGCCUUGGAAGCUUCAAUUUUGGCCUUAUUCUUGAGAAUGAAUUGGCGGGAGGGC
rnacentral:rRNA from 1 species